AUUGAACGCUGGCGGCAGGCCUAACACAUGCAAGUCGAACGGUAACAGGAAGCAGCUUGCUGCUUCGCUGACGAGUGGCGGACGGGUGAGUAAUGUCUGGGAAGCUGCCUGAUGGAGGGGGAUAACUACUGGAAGCGGUAGCUAAUACCGCAUAAUGUCGCAAGACCAAAGAGGGGGACCUUCGGGCCUCUUGCCAUCGGAUGUGCCCAGAUGGGAUUAGCUUGUUGGUGGGGUAACGGCUCACCAAGGCGACGAUCCCUAGCUGGUCUGAGAGGAUGACCAGCCACACUGGAACUGAGACACGGUCCAGACUCCUACGGGAGGCAGCAGUGGGGAAUAUUGCACAAUGGGCGCAAGCCUGAUGCAGCCAUGCCGCGUGUAUGAAGAAGGCCUUCGGGUUGUAAAGUACUUUCAGCGGGGAGGAAGGGAGUAAAGUUAAUACCUUUGCUCAUUGACGUUACCCGCAGAAGAAGCACCGGCUAACUCCGUG
rnacentral:rRNA from 1 species